GACGAACGCUGGCGGCGUGCUUAACACAUGCAAGUCGAACGGAAAGGCCCUGCUUUUGUGGGGUGCUCGAGUGGCGAACGGGUGAGUAACACGUGAGUAACCUGCCCUUGACUUUGGGAUAACUUCAGGAAACUGGGGCUAAUACCGGAUAGGAGCUCCUGCUGCAUGGUGGGGGUUGGAAAGUUUCGGCGGUUGGGGAUGGACUCGCGGCUUAUCGGCUUGUUGGUGGGGUAGUGGCUUACCAAGGCUUUGACGGGUAGCCGGCCUGAGAGGGUGACCGGCCACAUUUGGACUGAGAUACGGCCCAGACUCCUACGGGAGGCAGCAGUGGGGAAUAUUGCACAAUGGGCGGAAGCCUGAUGCAGCAACGCCGCGUGCGGGAUGACGGCCUUCGGGUUGUAAACCGCUUUCGCCUGUGACGAAGCGUGAGUGACGGUAAUGGGUAAAGAAGCACCGGCUAACUACGUG
rnacentral:rRNA from 1 species